ACAAGUUUCUCUUGAUCACCGUGAAGACGAGCGACAAUCUCCUCCGGACCCAAUGAUGAAUGCCAAAGCCAUGCUGAUUGCUCUCGUGGCUUGCGCCUUAUUAGUAGCCGGCACCGAGGCGUGUGGUGGCGAAGGCCGCUCCGAGUCCGGUCGCUGCGGUGGCAGCGAAGGGCGCAGCGAGCACGGGGCAAGCCGA